AUGAACGCUGGCGGCGUGCCUAAUACAUGCAAGUCGAGCGAACGGACGAGAAGCUUGCUUUUCUGAUGUUAGCGGCGGACGGGUGAGUAACACGUGGAUAACCUACCUAUAAGACUGGGAUAACUUCGGGAAACCGGAGCUAAUACCGGAUAAUAUUUUGAACCGCAUGGUUCAAAAGUGAAAGACGGUCUUGCUGUCACUUAUAGAUGGAUCCGCGCUGCAUUAGCCAGUUGGUAAGGUAACGGCUUACCAAGGCAACGAUGCAUAGCCGACCUGAGAGGGUGAUCGGCCACACUGGAACUGAGACACGGUCCAGACUCCUACGGGAGGCAGCGGUAGGGAAUCUUCCGCAAUGGGCGAAAGCCUGACGGAGCAACGCCGCGUGAGUGAUGAAGGUCUUCGGAUCGUAAAACUCUGUUAUUAGGGAAGAACAUAUGUGUAAGUAACUGUGCACAUCUUGACGGUACCUAAUCAGAAAGCCACGGCUAACUACGUG
rnacentral:rRNA from 1 species